UACGUAGGUGGCAAGCGUUGUCCGGAUUUAUUGGGUUUAAAGGGUGCGUAGGCGGUCCUAUAAGUCAGUGCUGAAAUAUCCCGGCUUAACCGGGAGGGUGGCAUUGAUACUGCAGGACUUGAGUAGAGUUGAGGUUGGCGGAAUUGGCGGUGUAGCGGUGAAAUGCUUAGAUAUCGUCAAGAACACCGAUAGUGAAGACAGCUAACUAAGCUCUAACUGACGCUGAGGCACGAAAGUGUGGGGAUCAAACAGG
rnacentral:rRNA from 1 species